AUUGAACACUGGCGGCAGGCCUAACACAUGCAAGUCGAACGAGAGGCGGACGGGUGAGUAAUGUAUGGGGAACUGCCUGAUGGCGAGGGAUAACUACUGGAAACGGUAGCUAAUCCCGCAUACCAUCAGAUGAACCCAUAUGGGAUUAGCUUGUCGGUGAGGUAACGGCUCACCUAGGCGACGAUCCCUAGCUGGUCUGAGAGGAUGAUCAGCCACACUGGGACUGAGACACGGCCCAGACUCCUACGGGAGGCAGCAGUGGGGAAUAUUGCACAAUGGGGGAAAGCCUGAUGCAGCCAUGCCGCGUGUAUGAGGAAGGCCUUCGGGUUGUAAAGUACUUUCAGUCGGGAGGCGUUACCGACAGAAGAAGCACCGGCUAACUCCGUGCCAGCAGCCGCGGUAAUGC
rnacentral:rRNA from 1 species